AUGAACGCUAGCUACAGGCUUAACACAUGCAAGUCGAGGGGCAGCAUGGUCUUAGCUUGCUAAGGCCGAUGGCGACCGGCGCACGGGUGAGUAACACGUAUCCAACCUGCCGUCUACUCUUGGACAGCCUUCUGAAAGGAAGAUUAAUACAAGAUGGCAUCAUGAGUCCGCAUGUUCACAUGAUUAAAGGUAUUCCGGUAGACGAUGGGGAUGCGUUCCAUUAGAUAGUAGGCGGGGUAACGGCCCACCUAGUCUUCGAUGGAUAGGGGUUCUGAGAGGAAGGUCCCCCACAUUGGAACUGAGACACGGUCCAAACUCCUACGGGAGGCAGCAGUGAGGAAUAUUGGUCAAUGGGCGAGAGCCUGAACCAGCCAAGUAGCGUGAAGGAUGACUGCCCUAUGGGUUGUAAACUUCUUUUAUAAAGGAAUAAAGUCGGGUAUGCAUACCCGUUUGCAUGUACUUUAUGAAUAAGGAUCGGCUAACUCCGUGCCAGCAGCCGCGGUAAUACGGAGGAUCCGAGCGUUAUCCGGAUUUAUUGGGUUUAAAGGGAGCGUAGAUGGAUGUUUAAGUCAGUUGUGAAAGUUUGCGGCUCAACCGUAAAAUUGCAGUUGAUACUGGAUAUCUUGAGUGCAGUUGAGGCAGGCGGAAUUCGUGGUGUAGCGGUGAAAUGCUUAGAUAUCACGAAGAACUCCGAUUGCGAAGGCAGCCUGCUAAGCUGCAACUGACAUUGAGGCUCGAAAGUGUGGGUAUCAAACAGGAUUAGAUACCCUGGUAGUCCACACGGUAAACGAUGAAUACUCGCUGUUUGCGAUAUACAGCAAGCGGCCAAGCGAAAGCGUUAAGUAUUCCACCUGGGGAGUACGCCGGCAACGGUGAAACUCAAAGGAAUUGACGGGGGCCCGCACAAGCGGAGGAACAUGUGGUUUAAUUCGAUGAUACACGAGGAACCUUACCCGGGCUUAAAUUGCAGAUGAAUUACGGUGAAAGCCGUAAGCCGCAAGGCAUCUGUGAAGGUGCUGCAUGGUUGUCGUCAGCUCGUGCCGUGAGGUGUCGGCUUAAGUGCCAUAACGAGCGCAACCCUUGUUGUCAGUUACUAACAGGUUCCGCUGAGGACUCUGACAAGACUGCCAUCGUAAGAUGUGAGGAAGGUGGGGAUGACGUCAAAUCAGCACGGCCCUUACGUCCGGGGCUACACACGUGUUACAAUGGGGGGUACAGAGGGCCGCUACCACGCGAGUGGAUGCCAAUCCCAAAAACCUCUCUCAGUUCGGACUGGAGUCUGCAACCCGACUCCACGAAGCUGGAUUCGCUAGUAAUCGCGCAUCAGCCACGGCGCGGUGAAUACGUUCCCGGGCCUUGUACACACCGCCCGUCAAGCCAUGGGAGCCGGGGGUACCUGAAGUGCGUAACCGCGAGGAGCGCCCUAGGGUAAAACUGGUGACUGGGGCU
rnacentral:rRNA from 1 species